UGUUGUAUUGUACAUCCCUAUCUAGUUUUAUUUAAACAGCAAAAUUGUUCUCUCUUAAAAUUUGAUAAACCGAUACGGUUGUUAUAUCCGUGGCCUGGAAGUGUACCAACUCGGUUGAUAAAUUGCAGGUAGCGUGCAGAGAUAAUCUCUAAGAGAUUUUUCUCUCUUUCUCUCGUGUAAGAACGAACUCGUUACCGAAGAUGACUGCAGUCUCUAAGAUGGGAAUAGGUGUAUGGUGUGGUCAUGCCUGGCACCUAUUUUUGUGGAUCUGGGUGACAGAACAGCACGUUUAUUAGUAGCCAGCGCUCCCUGGCGUUUAACUGUCGUUGACGACGAUGACGACGACGACGACGACGAAGACGACCAUCACCAAGGAACGAACUUGGUGAACGUCCAAAAUCUAUAUACAAGCUAGAGAAGAAGUACCUUUACACGACCGCCAUCUCCUUCGUUUUCCAAUGCCAUCAUCAUUGCGCAAGUUACUUCGUAAAUGUUACAAUUAAUCAACUGAAUGAAUUUCUGACGAUGAUAAUAUACGCCGCCGCCGCCGCCGCCGCCGCCGCCGUCGAUAUUUUUCGAAGAAGGGAAAAAAGGGCUGAGGGAUGAGGGAAAGAAGAAACCUUUUCUUCGAAUGGAAAAAGAACAUACGGAGUUGUUAGAAAAACGCAAUGUAUAGAUAACGAUGUACCAUAUAAACUUUAUUUUACUUCAUAAAAAAUUGUAAAAUUGGUUUUAUUUUUUGGGACUAAGCGGUAUUAAAGUCGGUGUCUCAUCUUUUUGAUGCAUAAAUGUGCACGGUAGUAUUAUUAGAAUCUCAUCC